AGCGAAGUAAGCCAAUCCCAAAAAACCAAAGCCGAAUGUUCUCUCUGUUUUUCCUGCACUUAUUCAAGAGGCUGCGGCUACACCAUCACUGAUGAGAAUAUCCAGUCCUUCCAUACUUGAAGCAGUGAACCCAAACCAGGGCUUUGGCCACAAAGCCAGCCAUGCUGAGAGCUCAUGAGAACAUCUGGAUGAUGUCAGAAUCAGUUUCAACAACACCCAGCAUCACCUGAUUACAGCUCCACAUAGCCCUACAAUUCUACAGGGGAAAAUGGACUCAGAACAAAAGAUGCCUGGGUGAGUUCAUUCUGUAACAAGCCAAUCAAAGGUAAGUAAAGCAAAGGAAUAAUAAAAAGAGAAAGAAAGAAAGAGACGGGUACUUUGAACAAAAAUAGCAAGUGCUUUUGAUCCAGUUGUUUAUGUCAGAAAUCAAUAGAGAUGUUUUCUUUCACUUUGGAGAGUUAGAAUUGAAAUUUGUUGAAAUUGGAUCUUGAGGCACUUAGAAUUUUUUUCCUUGGUACUGGAACAAUGGCACACAUUCUGUUUACAAGAAGCACUGGCCACUGUGGCAAAAAUUGUAGCAAUUGUAGUGGUUUUAUUCUCAGCUCUCUGUUUUCAGGAUGUAUAGGCUCAGAGGUAUUAAUGGAUGGUACACAAAGAAAGCCUUUAAUCGAUUUCUGGAAAUAUGUAAAAUAUUUCACUUCAGCAAAUGCCUAUUUCCACAAAUACCAUCAAACCUUGAUGUUAACAGGAAGGUGUAAGAGUGACAGAGCACCACUGCAAACAUCUCUGCAUGGAAAUUUCAUCUCAGAAACAGGAAAUGAUUAUGGUAAACGAACGAUCUCGAGAUAAAACAGUUUCACAAAACAAACCAAAAUGAGUGUGGUGGUGCAUGUUAGCUUGCUUUAUAUGACUUUGUUUUAAUUAAGGUCUGAUUACCACAGCUGCGACUCAUUUACCUAAUAACAGAGUUUGAUGUUUCAAAAUUAAAGAACUUCAGGGCUGGAACCAUGGUGUCGGAGCGUGAGAGGGAGCAUGUCAUGGUAACCUUCAGUGUUCCGAUUGUGAAUUGCUGUGGGGAUUUGCCUAAAGCCCAUGAAAUUCACGGCAAAGAGAGCAUUGUGUUGAGCUAUGGAAUAAGAAGCAGCUGUCCACUGAUGCCUCCAAACAGGCCAGCAUAGGCUCUGCAUACCCCUCUUGUGACUCAGAAAAUUUUUCACCAAAAUACCUCCUAACUUAUGAGGUCUCUAAAAGAUUCCCUGUUUCCCCUGGAGCAAGCACUGUGAUCCUGCUGAAAUGAGGAAGUUCAGAAUUUAACUUUCUUCCUCUACAGUGAAAGUUUAUUUCCUUGCUCUUUAUUUGAAUGAACAUGAGAUCUGUAAUAGGUUUUUCUGGAUUGAUGGGCCCUUUCAGCUAAUGUUCCAGGCAGUUCUAGAUUGGACCAGUGCUACAAAUACUAAGAAUAAUUUGCUGGUUGUAACAUGUGAAAAGUUAUUUCUAAUGGAACUAUUCACACCAGCCAAUCCCUAACAUGCCUCCAUUUUUUUUUACCCAGAUGCCAUCCCAGACACCCUUUACUUUUUACCCUCCACCAUCCUGAGCUCUGGUGCCUAAAUCACAAACCAAGCUCAGGUAUGUUCUCCAUAUGAGACAAGAUUUGAUAAAUCCAGAUGGAAAAUAUAAAGUGGAAUUCUUCUGGUUUUGGAGCAGAUGUUGAACUACAGUCACACGUGCAGUAGAAAAUGUUUUAUGCCUGUCUCACCCUCAUCUUCAAAGCACAUCCUUCCCCUUGAGGUGCCAAGAGCAGCGCCCUGUGACCCUUUACUUCUUGACUAAACUGACUUAGCCAGAGGCCAGCAUCCUAGCCAAAAUUGACUACCAAUAAUGGGGCCUGGGAAAAGUUUCACCAUACAAGUCAAGGUUCCAAUAAAGCAUAAGUGCUUCACUCUGCGAUACAAGAUAACUGCGUAAGUAAAAAGAACCAAUUAAAUAUAAAUCAAUA